rnacentral:rRNA from 1 species
GAUGAACGCUGGCGGCGUGCCUAAUACAUGCAAGUCGAGCGAACAGACGAGGAGCUUGCUCCUCUGACGUUAGCGGCGGACGGGUGAGUAAGACGUGGAUAACCUACCUAUAAGACUGGGAUAACUUCGGGAAACCGGAGCUAAUACCGGAUAAUAUAUUGAACCGCAUGGUUCAAUAGUGAAAGACGGUUUUGCUGUCACAUAUAGAUGGAUCCGCGCCGGAUUAGCUAGUUGGUAAGGUAACGGCUUACCAAGGCAACGAUGCGUAGCCGACCUGAGAGGGUGAUCGGCCACACUGGAACUGAGACACGGUCCAGACUCCUACGGGAGGCAGCAGUAGGGAAUCUUCCGCAAUGGGCGAAAGCCUGACGGAGCAACGCCGCGUGAGUGAUGAAGGUCUUCGGAUCGUAAAACUCUGUUAUUAGGGAAGAACAAAUGUGUAAGUAACUAUGCACGUCUUGACGGUACCUAAUCAGAAAGCCACGGCUAACUACGUG